rnacentral:rRNA from 1 species
UACGAAGGGUGCAAGCGUUACUCGGAAUUACUGGGCGUAAAGCGUGCGUAGGUGGUGAGUUAAGUCUGUCGUGAAAUCCCCGGGCUCAACCUGGGAACUGCAUUUGUGACUGCAGGGCUAGAGUACGGUAGAGGGGGAUGGAAUUCCGCGUGUAGCAGUGAAAUGCGUAGAUAUCGGGAGGAACACCAGUGGCGAAGGCGGCCACCUGGACGGGAUACUGACGCUGAGGUGCGAAAGCGUGGGGAGCAAACAGG